UGAACUGAGCUCGCCAAGGUAGUGAUGGCCC
rnacentral:piRNA from 1 species